rnacentral:snoRNA from 1 species
UACCUCUCAGGGUGGCACCCAGAGAGUUUCCAGUACUCUACCAGUCUCGACUCAGGAGGGAGAGUCCAGCAGAGGCCUACCCAUUCCAUUCCUAGCUUGGCCAGUGGCUAGCGAGUGGAAGGUAAUCUGCUACAGGU